CUGGCCUUGACAUGCUGAGAACUUUCCAGAGAUGGAUUGGUGCCUUCGGGAACAUUGAGACAGGUGCUGCAUGGCUGUCGUCAGCUCGUGUCGUGAGAUGUUGGGUUAAGUCCCGUAACGAGCGCAACCCUUGUCCUUAGUUACCAGCACGUUAUGGUGGGCACUCCAAGGAGACUGCCGGUGACAAACCGGAGGAAGGUGGGGAUGACGUCAGGUCAUCAUGGCCCCUACGGCCAGGGCUACACACGUGCUACAAUGGUCGGUACGAAGGGUUGCCAA
rnacentral:rRNA from 1 species